rnacentral:rRNA from 1 species
CCUACGGGAGGCUGCAGUGAGGAAUAUUGGUCAAUGGACGAGAGUCUGAACCAGCCAAGUAGCGUGAAGGAUGACUGCCCUAUGGGUUGUAAACUUCUUUUAUAUGGGAAUAAAACGUUCCACGUGUGGGAUUUUGUAUGUACCAUAUGAAUAAGGAUCGGCUAACUCCGUGCCAGCAGCCGCGGUAAUACGGAGGAGCCGAGCGUUAUCCGGAUUUAUUGGGGUUAAGGGGUGCGUAGGUGGAUUGUUAAGUCAGUUGUGAAAGUUUGCGGCUCAACCGGAACAUUGCAGUUGAAACUGGCAGUCUUGAGUACAGUAGAGGUGGGCGGAAUUCGUGGUGUAGCGGUGAAAUGCUUAGAUAUCACGAAGAACUCCGAUUGCGAAGGCAGUUCACUGGACUGCAACUGACACUGAGGCUCGAAAGUGUGGGUAUCAAACAGGAUUAGAUACCCCAGUAGUC